rnacentral:rRNA from 1 species
UAGGGAAUCUUCCACAAUGGACGCAAGUCUGAUGGAGCAACGCCGCGUGAGUGAAGAAGGCUUUCGGGUCGUAAAACUCUGUUAUUGAAGAAGAACGUGUGUGACAGUAACUGGUCAUGCAGUGACGGUAUUCAAUCAGAAAGUCACGGCUAACUACGUGCCAGCAGCCGCGGUAAUACGUAGGUGGCAAGCGUUGUCCGGAUUUAUUGGGCGUAAAGCGAGUGCAGGCGGUCUUUUAAGUCUGAUGUGAAAGCCUUCGGCUUAACCGAAGAAGGGCAUCGGAAACUGGGAGACUUGAGUGCAGAAGAGGAGAGUGGAACUCCAUGUGUAGCGGUGAAAUGCGUAGAUAUAUGGAAGAACACCAGUGGCGAAGGCGGCUCUCUGGUCUGUAACUGACGCUGAGGCUCGAAAGCGUGGGUAGCAAACAGGAUUAGAUACCCUGGUAGUCCACGCCGUAACGAUGAAUACUAAGUGUUGGAGGGCUUUCCGCCCUUCAGUG